GGGGGUAAGGCACAUUUUAAGGGAGGGGAAUUGUCUUCAUAAUGGAGUGGAGGUGGGGAAAAGUUAUGGGUUUCUUGGUUGGACUGCUUGUUAGGUGUGCACUCAAUCUGUGCUUAUGUUAAUUCACUGAGUUGUGACUAUCUGUGUUAUUUCUUUUCUGUCUAGUACCUGUUAUGUGGUGGGAAGGUUGACUGGAGUAGUUGAAAAUUUGUGCACUAUCAGUGGGAUUUGCUGUGUGAUGGGUGAGAAAUUGAUUUGUGAUCGUGACUUUGGUGUGCUCAUGUGCUGGUGUGGUCCUCUUUAUCAAAUGUUAUGGCACUACAACAUUUUUCACUUUAGGCCACGCAAAUUUCUUCGACGAAGAAAGAACCGUGGCCUAAUUGCAGUAUAUGCCACGGUUCAAAAGUUGUGGACGUGUGAUGACCACAGCUGAAAAAAAACCGUGGGAUCUACAUUGUAUACCACGGUUCCACAAUUGUGGGUAGUUCAUGGCUACAGAUUUCCAACUGCGGCAACCUAAUCCCACAAAUAUAACCGUGGCCUAAUAAUAACACUAAAAAAAUUUCUUCCGCCAAAAUUUCGUGUAUCGCAUGCGUGUUUUCAAUUUUGGCACAACUAAAGAAUUAAUUUUCAUUAAAAAAAACUUAAAAGUAAUAAAAUAAUAGAAAUUACGUUCAAAAUAAAAUAAAAUAAAUAGAAACCCCCCAAAUCCCUAACACUACACUCACGUAGACUACUUCAGAGAAAAGAUUGAACCCUAACUUUCUCCUUCUUGGUUGAACGAUUGUGAUCCUCCUCCUCUGCUGGUACUGCUCAUCUUGGCGACCCUCCUCUAUCCGCCGGCGACUGCUUGUGCGACCCUCUUCUCUUCGCUGCUGAGGCUAUUCUUCAAGAUUCCAUUCAGAACUCAAAUGAAGAACGUUAACACCAUCCAUGAUGAAAAAAAUGAAGAAAUUUCUGCUAUUAAGAAGCAACAUAAAGAUGAAAUGACUGGUAUGAAGAGGUAGAUGGAUGCAUUAACAUUACUUGUAAGGAUCAUGCUGAAGCUACAACACCCAAAUUUAGAUGAAGAAGAGAUCUCUAAUAUGAUGGAAGCUGCUCUUGGCAAUGAAAAUAGUGUAGCUCCGAAUCGACCUAUGUUCCCCCUCACGAAAAUGUAUACUUGUUUAAUUUCCUAAAAUUUCUGAAUGGGGAGAAUGAUGAUUUUCAUGAAAAAGGAGAAGGAGAAGAAGAAGUAGAAGAAUAUUGAUUACUCUUGGAAUUGAUAGUAUUUUCUAAUUUUGAAAGAUUGUUUGGAACUUAGGAUGACAUCUUGAGAUUUUAUUUUGUUGAUGUUUAUGUUGAUUUUAACAUUGUCAUGAAUUGACUAGAAGCUGUCAAGUUGAACAGGAUUAGGCAUUGCUAUGAUUUGGUCUUAGUUUCAUGUGAUUCAGUUUUUUGUAAUGGCUCUAUCUCUUGAUAUUGGUUGAACUAAUCUUGGGCUUCUUUUAAAUGAAUUAACUUAUGAAAAAAAAGUUGAUUGUAA